AUUAAUUUUACAAAUAAUAAAUAAUAAAGUAAAUUAUAAUUUGCUCACCUACUGUUGCCUCCCCGAAUGUGCUUCUUCUCUCUCGUUCAUUCUCUUUGCCACUCUUUUGUAGUACUCGCAUGAAAAUACUGUUAACGUCACGCGCGCACUAAUUACCAAAAUAUGACAAUCGUGCGACAACUUACGCGACUUUAAAUUGUACACGACGCGCACUUUACAUAUAUUGUAACGAAAAAAUACUACACGAACUUUUUAUAUAGUUCGACAGAAAAAUAAUGCAAAAAUUACAAUAAUCGCGAUCAAUCGAUUGUGCUUAAGACGCUUUGCACAAUUGACGCGAAUCUCACAAAAUGCACAUUUUAUAUCGCGAUGAGAGAAUAAUACGAAAAUUAAUCGCACUUAGACGACUUAGAUCUACAUAUAUUUCGAAAAUACACACGCGUUCACUACUUGCUCGUUCGAAUCAUGCGAAUGAUCGCAAAGUAAUCACGUGUCAAUAACAACACGUCACAAAAUUUGGCGCUUUUUGUACGGUGCGGUGGUAGGAAUGAAUUUUGAAGAGCAUUAGCUCGCACUAUUGUUAACGCGACCUUGUCACAUUGUUGAAUGUAUUUUAUUACAUGUUGUAGUAUCGUACAAGAUCUGUCAAAGUGCGUAUCGUAGUUUCGUAUUAUAAUAUAGUUUUUGCCUUUAUUACACUUAUUCGGUAUUAUCUUUGUGUCGCGAUUUGAAUAAGUGCGCGUCAUGUACGGUUAACAUCGAGUGUCGUGUAAAGUGUCACGUUGUUCUUGUAAUCGCUGCGUUCUUGUAAUUAGUGCGCCCGAAAUUGUAAUUAACAGCGUUUUCGUGAGUGAGUAUCGUGUGAAUGCUACGAAACAGCAGCAACAGACGAACAAGAGAGGAAGAACAGGUCCGGAGAGACGUUGGGUAACAGCGGAGUAAACUACGAGGUCAAAAUGCUGCAUAUUACAACUUCACUGUUGCUCAUCAUCGAGUUUAUCGUAACGAUGCCACGGUCGAUUGCCGGACGAUCCCGACAAAAGGAACAAAAAAAAGCGGCUUGAAAGAAAUUGUGGCCAACUCUUCUUCAUCCGUAUCCUGCGAAACUAAAGCGAAACGUUAUACAUUGGACAACGUUAGAAAGGACUUUUGACGAGAACGCUGGCGCGGGGUAAAAUGGUACCGGACUGUCUAAUUACUCGGGUGCGCCCGGGCAGCUUCGUCUACAAAAGAUGGAGACUGAGAGGUGGCGACGACGUUGGAUCUUACGGGGUUGUACAACAGUCGAGACUAGACUGGCAGCGGCGAGGGGUUGCGGGGGAGGAGAUUUCAGGCCACACCGAGACAACCGGGGCUAAACAGCCAUCUAAAUGCAUCCGAGGUGGCGCUCACUGCCAUUACGGCUGAUGGACGCUUAUUGACGCACGCCCUGCCAGCUAAGGCAGAGCCUCCAGCAAGCCCUCCAGCAUCCCUCGACGAAACGCUCUUCUCUGUCUCUCUGUCUUGUUUCCUUCCUUCUCCUUACCUGCUUCCUUCCCAUUUGCUCGCUGUCUUUGCCCCAACGUCCGACUUGCCUUUUAUUGUGGCGAUAUCAAGAAAGCGCCGCGAAAGCUUAAAGCGCGCCCGACUUUCUCCCCGGCAUCCAAUCGCGAAUUUCGUCGCCGUAAUUAUUCUAACGGAUGAAAGCACUUUGGACGCUUUUAAUUAUCUUUAUGCUGAUAAGCACUGGAGCAGUUACAAUGUGCAUUUCUUGUCAAUUAUACUGUAUAUUCUCUAUUCUGUUUAUAACAUUUCUAUUAAUCUUGAGACCUUUUUUUUUUGAUCAAUACCAUGAAUUUCUGAAUAAGAAAAGAGUUUAUAAUCAGCAAAGAAGGUAUAUAAUGGCUGUGCUCUCUGCUUUUACAUUAUAUAUGUAUCUUAUUCGUAUAUAGAAUAUAACUGUGUUGAAAGUGCGUGUUUAACGCGUA